GAUUGUUAUUACAAAUAAAUGAAAAACAACUUCAAAGUUGUUAGAAAUCAAUUACAUACAAGCUGUCUUUAUAUACAUUUUUGUAAUUACAUGUACAAGUAUGAGAGUGAAAAAAUUACAGAGUGGUCAAGAAAGCUAUCAGACUUAUCUUGUAAUAAUCUUUGUAACUCCCCGAAUAGAAUAUCAUCAGCUUCUCUGUGGACAUAGGCUAUCUUUGGCCGAACCACGUAAAACAUCGUGUUCAUCUUCUUCUCUGAUCUUCUUUACUUUAUCGUGUACCAUUUAGCCAUCGAUCGUGUACCUCAACACUUCCAUCGUGUAGACCAUCAUCGACUUCGAACCCCAUCGUCUAGACGAUCUUCAGUAAAGCCUUCAUCGUCUAGACAAAUCUUCCCUUAUCAUCUAGACGACUCCCUGCUUUACCUCCAAUCACAGUAGACCCCAGCAUCCAAGCGAUUUCCAGCAGCCUUCUCCCUCAGGUUCUCUCUUUCUUUUCUCUCGUUUCCUCUCUGCAACAAAGAAAAGAAAAGAAUAGUCAUUAAAGGUCUUCAAAUCUCAGAAGUGUUUAGUUCUAAUUUCGACCGUCAAAGUGUAGGGUGAAGAUUAUUCUUCAUAUGGAUUGUGCUUUCAGCACACUGGUUUGAGUUCAGUGUUUUUCAAUAGGUGGUAUCUGGUUUUCACCAUCGGGCUUGGUUUCAUUAAGCCCAAAGAUCAAAUUCUUUUUAAGUUAGUAGUGAAUUCUCAGCCCAAUUUUCAUAUCAAGCCCAUCAAAUACUACUUGAAGGAAGUUCCCACAGGAUUUUGUUCAAUAUGCUACUAACAAAAAAAUCAAAGUAAAAUCAUUCAAAUGCCAAGAAACCAAGAACAUUUAGAAACUCCUACUUCAACCAGCAUUUAGAAAUUAUUUAGGGGGAGGGAGGGGGGAUGCCUUAUAACCAACACAAAUUCACAACAUUUAGAAACUCCUAUUUUAACUAAGUCACUAUUCAAAUGUCAACAAGCCAACAAGAGAUCACUUAAAUAAAACAAACCCAACAAAGCAUUGAACAUAAAAUAAUAAUAAUAAUAAUAAUAAUAAUAAUCAUUUAAGAAGGAGGGGAUGCCUUAUAACCAUACAAAUUUACAACAUUUAGAAACUCUUACUGUAAUUAAAUCUCUACUCAAAUGCCAACAAGUUAAUAAGAACUGCCUCACAACAAAUGCCUAGAUUAAAAAAAAAAAAAAAAAAAAAGUGCACAUAUAACUCAAUUUCAAGCAAAUACCAACAAGUCCACAAUAGAGAUGUAUACAACUCAAGAAAUAUAAAAAAUAAUCUAACUAGAGUUUCGGUCCACUUUCGUGUUAAUUGAUUUUGUAAUACCUUGAUUUAUUAUGUAAUUAUGCAUUAUUUUAUUUUCGAUUGUUUUGAUAGGUUGGAAUUCAAGAUUUGAUUGACCAGCUCAAUUAAUUUUAAUUUAUUUAUUUUAAAUUAAUUGGUUGAUUUGAUUUGAUUUGUUUUGAGGAUGGAAGAUUUAAUUUAGUUUUGAAAUUUUGGGAUGUCAAGAUAUUGGAUAGGAUUUUAGUAAAUUUGAAUUUAUUUGGAUUUAUGUGGAUUUAUUUUGAUUUGGAUUUAGUUUAGGAAGGAAUUUGAGUAGGAAAAGGAAAAGGAAAUUAAAAAAAAAAAAACUUUUCAUAGGAGGGUUUAUUUGGGUUAAAAUGUGAAGGAAGAAAAAAAAAAACAGAGAAAACGAGAAAACUUAUUUCCCUCCUCUCUCUCCCCCUCUCAGGUUGCGUGUAGGAAAAAAAAAAAAAAAAAGGAGAAUAUCUCUCUCUCUCGCAUUCACGCAAGAUGGAACCACGCCCCCCGCCCCCCCCCGUCUUUGUUUCUUCCGUCUCGUCUUCAGACCCGUGGCGAUGCCUUCAAUGCCGCCUAGUCGCUGUCUCCUUCGCCCAAACCGCCCACUGCCUCCAACUGCUUCAUGUCGCCAACCGUCACAACGUCGUUCACAGCUCACAACGGUGCACCACCAUGACCUAGUCAUUGGUUCUACUCGACACAUCCCUCUGACCGUUUGUUUCUGGCACCCAACCGCUGUCCUCCACCAGUCACUGCCUUCCUUCGCCGUCAUUCGCUGGAUCUUGGUUGUGUUGGAGAUUUGGCUAAGAUUCUUGGGUCUUGAAAAUUUUCAUGGGGUAUUUCAAAUGCCCAUUAAUUUUUUAUCCAAUUGACUAAUAACCUCAUGUUUUGGUUCUAGGAUUUAAGUUUGAGAGUGUUUCGGGCAAGAUUUUUUUGGUGGGUUGGAAAGCGAGGAUUGGAAGAGGUUGUGGAUCUAACCACACUUGGGGCUUGAUUCAGGAUUCAAGGGUUUUACGUGGGUUAAAAUUGUUAAUUGGUUAGACAACAGUUUGAGGUAAGUGUCUUCCUACUGGUUCGCCUUUGAACCAGUCGUCCUUACUACUUGGACGAUAUAUUUUAGACUAAAUGGGCUGGUUAUUCUAGAUUACUUGGACUGUAAAAUUUUGACUAAUUGAACUGCAUGACUUAAUGAUAUUGACUGAAUGGACUGUUUUGACCAUGAUGUUAUGUAAAGUUGAUUGAGGAUGUACUGGUAAUUUUGUCCUUAAGAUAAACGAUUGAACAUAUAACAAAGGAGUUAUAUGUAAAUUGAUGCAUGCAAAGCUAUAAGGUUUUUGUUAGCUUUUCUUAUCUGGGCAGGUGUACACAUAUGACUGUAUAUGUGCACAUUAUGAAUGAUUGGUGGACCUUCAAGUUACACUAUGACUGAUGCAUGUUCCUUCGGGUUCAUGUUUACGACUGAUUCGUGGACCUUCAGAUUACAUACUAUGACUAAUGCAUGUUCCGUCAAGUUUAUUUACGACUGAUUUGUGUACCUCCAGGAUAUGACUGAUGCAUGUCCAUUCAGGAUUGUGUUUAUGACUGAUAGGUGACCUUCGCGAGCACUAUGACUGAUAUGAUAUGGGUGUAUACCAAUGUCUAGAUAAACUAGCUAGCAGGAAACAACGAGAAUGGAUUGGCAAGGGACCGAAGAGACUCGUGAUAGAGCCAUAGGAGACAAUAGAAAAUUCUUCCGCACAG